CAGACAGGUGAGAGACAGACAGGUGGGGAUAGACAGGUGAGAGACAGGUGAGAAAGAGACAGGUGAGAGACAGACAGGUGAGAGACAGGUAACCUCUUGCUCUCCCCUCAGUGACCUGGAGGGGGCAGACAGGUAGACAGGCAGGUAGACAGACAGGUGGGGACAACCAGGUGAAAGACAGACAGGUGAGAGACAGGUAGACAGACAGGUGAGGACAGGCAGGUAGACAGACAGGUGAGAGACAGACAGGUAGACAGACAGGU